rnacentral:rRNA from 1 species
AAUGAACGCUGGCGGCAUGCCUAACACAUGCAAGUCGAACGAAGCCUUCGGGCUUAGUGGCGCACGGGUGCGUAACGCGUGGGAAUCUGCCCUUGGGUUCGGAAUAACAGUUAGAAAUGACUGCUAAUACCGAAUGAUGUCGUAAGACCAAAGAUUUAUCGCCCAGGGAUGAGCCCGCGUAGGAUUAGCUAGUUGGUGUGGUAAAGGCGCACCAAGGCGACGAUCCUAGCUGGUCUGAGAGGAUGAUCAGCCACACUGGGACUGAGACACGGCCCAGACUCCUACGGGAGGCAGCAGUGGGGAAUAUUGGACAAUGGGCGAAAGCCUGAUCCAGCAAUGCCGCGUGAGUGAUGAAGGCCUUAGGGUUGUAAAGCUCUUUUACCCGGGAUGAUAAUGACAGUACCGGGAGAAUAAGCUCCGGCUAACUCCGUGCCAGCAGCCGCGGUAA